rnacentral:rRNA from 1 species
GACGAACGCUGGCGGCGUGCUUAACACAUGCAAGUCGAGCGGUAAGGCCCUUUCGGGGGUACACGAGCGGCGAACGGGUGAGUAACACGUGGGUGACCUGCCCUCAGCUCUGGGAUAAGCCUGGGAAACCGGGUCUAAUACUGGAUAUGACUCCAUGACGCAUGUUGUGGGGUGGAAAGCCUUGUGCGGCUGAGGAUGGGCCCGCGGCCUAUCAGCUUGUUGGUGGGGUGAGGCCUACCAAAGGCGACGACGGGUAGCCGGCCUGAGAGGGCGACCGGCCACACUGGGACUGAGACACGGCCCAGACUCCUACGGGAGGCAGCAGUGGGGAAUCUUGCGCAAUGGGCGAAAGCCUGACGCAGCGACGCCGCGUGAGGGAUGACGGCCUGUGU